UGCAAGUCGUCUACCGCGCGCGCACACACACGCGCACACACCCCUCCAGGGACAGAGCUGCCAAAUCCUGACUCCGCCUCCUUCCUCAGUCGCAACAGAGGAGGAAGCAACUGCCAAAUACUGACCCACACCUCCACGAGAACAUUUAUUGACUAAAGGGUCUUUGGAAUACAACCUGCAAGUUGGGGUUGAGGAGAGGAUCGAUCGAAAUAUCGAAAGUGCUUUCCACACUAAAACAAAUCACGUGUGUUAAUAUCCGAGCUGCGAUGUUUGCUCAACUCAACCAUCUUCUUUACGGCGCCGAACCUUGACCUACAACCUUCUCCCCCCACCGCCCAGUGCAGAACAGCAAAAAUCCAGAUAGGUACAGUAUAUACUUUAUUCAUCUCCAAGAGAAAGUCACAGUUCUAACAGCUUGAUAUAAUAUACAGUAGAUACAACAAAAGGCACACAUGCAGGUUAAUAAAAAAACAAACAAA